ACCGACGGGAGCUUGCUCCCUUAGGUCAGCGGCGGACGGGUGAGUAACACGUGGGUAACCUGCCUGUAAGACUGGGAUAACUCCGGGAAACCGGGGCUAAUACCGGAUGCUUGAUUGAACCGCAUGGUUCAAUCAUAAAAGGUGGCUUUUAGCUACCACUUGCAGAUGGACCCGCGGCGCAUUAGCUAGUUGGUGAGGUAACGGCUCACCAAGGCGACGAUGCGUAGCCGACCUGAGAGGGUGAUCGGCCACACUGGGACUGAGACACGGCCCAGACUCCUACGGGAGGCAGCAGUAGGGAAUCUUCCGCAAUGGACGAAAGUCUGACGGAGCAACGCCGCGUGAGUGAUGAAGGUUUUCGGAUCGUAGAACUCUGUUGUUAGGGAAGAACAAGUACCGUUCGAAUAGGGCGGUACCUUGACGGUACCUAACCAGAAAGCCACGGCUAACUACGUGCCAGCAGCCGCGGUAAUACGUAGGUGGCAAGCGUUGUCCGGAAUUAUUGGGCGUAAAGCGCGCGCAGGCGGUUUCUUAAGUCUGAUGUGAAAGCCCCCGGCUCAACCGGGGAGGGUCAUUGGAAACUGGGGAACUUGAGUGCAGAAGAGGAGAGUGGAAUUCCACGUGUAGCGGUGAAAUGCGUAGAGAUGUGGAGGAACACCAGUGGCGAAGGCGACUCUCUGGUCUGUAACUGACGCUGAGGCGCGAA
rnacentral:rRNA from 1 species